rnacentral:rRNA from 1 species
AGAGUUUGAUCCUGGCUCAGAUUGAACGCUGGCGGCAUGCCUAACACAUGCAAGUCGAACGGUAACAGGUCUUCGGAUGCUGACGAGUGGCGGACGGGUGAGUAAUGCGUAGGAAUCUGUCUUUUAGUGGGGGACAACCCAGGGAAACUUGGGCUAAUACCGCAUGAGCCCUGAGGGGGAAAGCGGGGGAUCUUCGGCCUCGCGCUAAGAGAGGAGCCUACGUCCGAUUAGCUAGUUGGCGGGGUAAAGGACCCACCAAGGCGACGAUCGGUAGCUGGUCUGAGAGGACGCCAGCCACACUGGACUGAACACGCC